rnacentral:rRNA from 1 species
AUGAGGGCAUGGAAUUACGUGGUGACGGCGCACAAGCCCACUGCCGUCUCCCACUCCUGCGUCGGCAACUUCACCGCGCCCCACCAACUCAACCUCAUCGUCGCGAAAUGUAACCAUAUCGAGAUUUAUAUGCUUACUCCUCAUGGCCUUCAGCUUAUGCUUGACGUACCUUUGUAUGGAACAGUUGCAACACUUGAGCUCUACCGUUCUCGUAGUGAAACUCAAGAUUUUCUUUUCAUUGGUAUGGAAAGAUAUAGAUAUUGUGUUCUUCAGUGGGAUGGAAGAAAGUCAGAACUUCUUACAAGAUCUGAGGGAGAUGCUUCUGAAUUUUUGGGGCGCCCUACUGACAAUGGACAGGUUAUACAAGCAUUGAACAUCAGGCUUGAAGAACUUGUAGUGUUGGACAUCAAGUUUCUUUAUCGUUGUGAAAACCCUACAGUAGUGGUUCUUUACCAGGACAACAAAGAUGCCAGACAUGUUAAGACAUACGAAAUUGAGUUGGAGGACAAAAAUGCUCGUCUGUUAAUACCUGUACCACUGGGUGGUGUCAUAAUAGUUGGUGAGGACACAAUAGUUUACUGCAGUUCCGAAACUACUAAAUCUCUAUCAAUAAAGCAAUCCAUCAUUAGAGCUGUUGGGCGGGUUGACCAGUGCGGUUCUCGCUAUUUAUAUGGAGACAACACUGGUGCUCUGCAUUUGCUUACAAUUACCCAUGAAUCGGGAAGAGUGACUGGUUUAAAAAGUCACUUCAUUGGGGAGACGUCAAUUGCCUCAACAAUAUCAUAUGUUGGCAGUGGUUUCUUUUAUGUUGGUUCACAAUUUGGGGACUCACAGCUUCUAAAAUUGAAUACUCAAGCUGAUGCUAGAGGUUCAUUUGUUGAAAUUCUCGAACAAUAUAUAAACACUGGACCAAUUGUAGACUUGUGUGUGGUUGAUUUUGGAAGGCGAGGACAAGGUCAGGUGAUUACUUGUUCGGGUGCACACAAGGAUGGUUCAAUUCGGAUAAUUCGUAAUGAAAUAGUAAUUACUGACCAGGCUUCAUUACAACUCCAUGGCAUGAAAGGACUAUGGUCUUUAAAAUGUUCAUCGAACGAUCCAUAUGACAUAUUCUUGGUUGUGACCUUUAUAAACGAGACACGCUUCUUGGCAAUCAAUAAGGAAAACAAAUUGGUAGAAACACCUAUAGAAGGAUUUAAUUCAGAAACACAGACUCUGGUCUGCGAAAGUGCCAUCCACAAUCAGCUUAUACAGGUUACUGCGCAAUCUGUCAGAUUAGUCAGCUCUACUUCUCGAGAUUUACUGGAUCAAUGGUUUGCACCAACAGGAUUUCCAGUCAAUGUUGCAGCAGCUAAUGCGUGCCAGGUUUUGUUGGCAACUGGUGGUUUCCAUCUCAUCUACCUAGAAAUUACCAACUCUAAGUUGGUGGAAGUGAAGCAUGUAGAGCUUGAGCAUGCGAUUUCUUGUCUUGACAUAAACCCAAUCGGUGAGAAUCUACAAUAUAGCUCCCUUGCAGCUGUUGGGAUGUGGACAGAUACAAGUGUGAGGAUAUUUUCACUCCCUGGCAUUGAACUAAUUAGGAAGGAGAAUUUGGGUGAAGUUGUUCAUCGUUCUGUUCUGCUGUGUACUAUUGAAGAGGUGUCGUACUUGUUCUGUGCUCUUGGAGAUGGUCACCUCUUUAGUUUUGUGUUGAACAUAAGUACAUGUGAACUAUCAGAUAGAAGCAGGGUCUCCUUGGGGACACAACCAAUCAGCCUCUGUAAAUUCUUAUCUCAUGAUAAAGCUCAUGUGUUGGCUGCAUCAGAUAGGCCAACUAUCAUAUGCAGCAGUGACAAGAAGUUACUCUAUAGUUAUGUCAACUUGAAAGAAAUGAACCACGUGUGCCCUUUUAAUACAGUUAUUUUUCCAGAAAGCAUUGCGAUAGCUAAAGAAGCUGAACUUUCAAUUGGUGCAAUUAACUACUCCAGAAAGCGUCAUAUCCACACAAUCCCCUUGAAUGAGCAUGCACGCCGCAUCUGUCACCAGGAACAAUCUCAAACACUUGCACUCUGCAGUUUCAAGAACAAGUACAUGCAUGGAGUGAGCGAGACACAUUUUGUUCGUCUAUUAGACCAUCAGACUUUUGGGAUUUUAUCAACACAUAGUCUUGAUGCUUUUGAAUGUGGUUGCUCAAUCAUCAGUUGUUCAUUUUCUGAUGAUGAUAAUUUCUACUAUUGUGUGGGAACAGCAUAUGUUUUGCCCAUGGAAGAUGAACCCACAAAGGGGCGGAUCCUGGUUUUUUUAGUUAAAGAAGGGAAGUUACAACUAAUCAAAGCGAAGGAAACCAAAGGAGCUGUCUAUUCGCUUAAAUCAUUCAAUGGGAAAUUAUUGGCUGCUAUUAAUCAGAAGAUCAGAUUGUACAAGUGGGUGCAGCGAAAUGAUAUGUCACAUGUACUACAAUUUGAGUGUGCCCAUGAUGGCCACGUAUUAUCUUUGUAUACUCAAACACGUGGUGAUUUCAUCUUGGUUGGAGACUUGAUGAGAUCAUUAUCGUUGCUGAUAUACAAGCACGAAGAAGGCACGAUUGAAGAGGUGGCUAGGGAUUUAAACACAAACUGGAUUACUGCAGUUGAGAUGCUGGAUGAUGAUAUUUAUAUUGGUGCAGACAAUUGCUGUAACCUAUUUACCGUGUGCAAGUCCCCAUAUGGGUUCCUUGAGCCCGUUGGGGAGUACCAUCUGGGGGACGUGGUGAAUAGGUUGCAUCACGGUUCUCUGGUUAUGCACCACGCAGAUUCGGGGACAGGCCAGUUUCCUUCAGUCAUCUUUGGCACGGUCAAUGGCGCCAUCGGUGUGAUUGCCUCCCUUCCAUAUGACCUAUAUGCGUUCCUAGAGAAGCUGCAGUCCGUCCUUGUGAAUUUCGUCAAGGGUGUUGGUAACCUUAGCCAUGCAGAAUGGCGGUCAUUCUGUAACGCCAGGAGGACCAGUUCAGCCCGGAACUUCGUGGAUGGUGAUCUGAUUGAAUCUUUCUUCAGUCUGAGCCCAAGCCAGAUGGUGGAGGUUGCGUGCGCGAUGGGUGUCCCUCCGAUUGAGUUGUAUAAGAAAGUGCAGGAGUUGAUCAAUCCACACUAG